CCCUUAGACGUUCUGGGCCGCACGCGCGCUACACUGACCAGUGCAACAAGCAUCCGUCCUUGGCCGACAGGCUCGGGCAAUCUUUGAACGCUGGUCGUGAUGGGGAUAGACUUUUGCAAUUUUUGGUCUUCAACGAGGAAUUCCUAGUAAACGCAAGUCAUCAACUUGCAUUGAUUACGUCCCUGCCCUUUGUACUCACCGCCCGUCGCACCUACCGAUUGAAUGGUCCGGUGAAGCCUCCGGAUUGGCGCGCACCUCGGUGCCGCCGAGAAGUUGGCUAAACCUUACCAUUUAGAGGAAGGUGAAGUCGUAACA
rnacentral:rRNA from 1 species